GGGCGAUUAGCUCAGCUGGGAGAGCACCUGCCUUACAAGCAGGGGGUCGGCAGUUCGAGCCUGUCAUCGCCCACCA
rnacentral:tRNA from 3 species